GUGGACAAAGAGGAGGACAGAUCAGAGUCUGUGGACAGACACACAGCAGAGUCUUCAGGAUCCAGCAGGUUGUCUCUGAGGAGUGACAAGUCCAAAGAUCGUCCACCGCACUUCAGUGUUGAACCUGGACCUUCAGACACAAAAGAGAAGAAGAGGACUGAUGUGUGUGAGGAGCAGCCAGAAAGAUCCAGAAG